rnacentral:rRNA from 1 species
AUUGAACGCUGGCGGCGUGCCUAACACAUGCAAGUCGUACGUGAAAGUCCUUCGGGAUGAGUAAAGUGGCGCACGGGUGAGUAACACGUGGGUAAUCUACCGGGAAGUGAGGAAUAACGACUGGAAACGGUCGCUAAUACCGCAUGAGCCCCGCAAGGGGGGAAAGGAGGCCUCUGCAUAUGCUUCCGCUUUUCGAUGAGCCCGCGUCUGAUUAGAUAGUUGGUGGGGUAACGGCCUACCAAGUCGACGAUCAGUAGCCGACCUGAGAGGGUGAUCGGCCACAUUGGGACUGAGACACGGCCCAAACUCCUACGGGAGGCAGCAGUGGGGAAUAUUGGGCAAUGGGGGGAACCCUGACCCAGCAACGCCGCGUGGAGGAAGAAGGUUUUCGGAUCGUAAACUCCUGUCCUCAGGGAAGAGCAGAAGACGGUACCUGAGGAGGAAGCCCCGGCUAACUACGUG